rnacentral:lncRNA from 1 species
AGCAGCUUUCCAGCAUGAUUAUAUAACUGAAGGUUUCAUUUACUGAACUUUCGGUAUCCACUAGACAUGCAUGAAUUGUCCAAAUGUGUCUGCUUACUCUUAGACAAAAUAUUCUUACUUCUGUGGGAAAAACACAGAGUCAGGUAAUUUUUUUAAAACUAAUUCCAUACAGGUUUAGCCUCAGUGCCCUCUGUAUGUAGGCUUUGCUAACACGAGCCCAGAUCACUCAGAUAGCUUGAUUUCAAAGUAGUGAUCCAAUAAACAUCUUCAAUCAUUGCAUAGCACUGCAUUUGUGAUCCUUUGGAUAAACACCUGAAGAACUACUCACAAGAGCAAGUGGUGUUUUCUGAAGUGAGUUUGCGCCACGCUUACAGUUCCUUCUCCUUGUGAUUAUUUCAUCAGAUGUUUGUUCUUUCCACAUGAUCCCUUUCUGCAUCUCACUGUCAGGUCCUGGACUGGAAUAUGUUUCUAAUGUUUUGCGGAUGAUCUAACUUCUUUGAUGGAAAAAGGGGCGUAGCAGCUUUCCAGCAUGGUCAUAAGCGAAUAUUUCGUUUACUGAACUUCUGGUGUCCACAGUUAUGCAUUGUCCAAAUGUCUCCACUUUUAAGGCUAGAAUUGCUGUCAACUGAUAUACCUUUCUUCUGUGGGAAAACAACUAAAAGUCAGGUAACAUCUUUAGUAUAAUUUCUCAACAUUGUAAUUUGAUUUCAGAAGCAUAAAAUGAAGUCAAUGGUACAUAACAUGAACUAAAGUAGUGGACUGGGUUUAUUUUCUCAGAUUUAAUUAUUUUUGUUAAGCAAGGGAUGGCCAAGACUGUCCUCUACGAAAUUUCUAGACCAAACAGAAACUAUACAUGAAUAUCUAAAGAUGAACACAUACAAUAUAUUCUAGGGUAAUGAGCAAGUGUAUUGGAGCCGCCUUUUUGUGAUGGUGUUCAUAACUUUUUAUUUACCCAACACUGUCUUACUAAAUGGUCAUUCUGCUCAAGUUUUCUAGUGUCUCAUUGUUUUGUGUUCAUUUUUUACUUGUAUACACUUAUAAUAUUUUAACGGAAGAGAGCUGGAAACAUCCAGAUUCCAUGUCCAAAUAAUGAAUAUGUUUGUUAAAGUAAACAAGAUUUUUCAAGCUUCCCUGUAACAGCAAGAUUUUUUUGUUCUUGGGAAUAAAAUCAAUGAAAACUAGUUGAGUAACCAAAUAGUUGAGCUCCUAAUGGUUACCUUGCGAUUACAUCGACAGUAUCUAUUUCUAAUUGUAAAUGAUGUAGGUGAAUUCCAGAAUUCACCUCUGCUGCUUGAACUGGCCAUUUGUGUGUGUGUUUGUUGCUGCUGCAGUUCAUCCAACACCAAGCACUUCACUUGCAUCUCAGAAAUUAACAUUUGUUUGUUGCUGUUUGUUGCAUCUCUUGCUGCUGCAUUUUACUCUCAUAAAUAGCCUUCUGGACUGGCCGUUGCAUAUGGACGUUAGAACUAACUGCCAGAAAGAGCCGUUGCCUUCCAUUUUGUUCACUACUGAUGUUCAGACCUUAAUGAAUGCAUUGGUCUCACUUACACCCCUCCCAAGUUUCAUUCUUCUUAAAUUCCCUGUUUUUUCUUCACAUGAGAUUAGCUCAUUAACGCAAGAUAAUGGGGGCAUUUGUGGUAUACACUUGUUUCUCUCUGCAACUACUGAUUUUUUAUUGUUUGUAUUUUUAAAUUGGGUCUAUUUUGGCAUUGCCUAUCUAGUUUUAAGGGAGGGUUGUGGUAUUAUUGAAACCAUAGGGAAGGGGAGUGAAACUGUCAGAAACCUCAGGGGAGGUAUCUGAAAUUAUCCCUUUUUAAUAAGAAAAAAAAUAAAGGAAAUGAGAGGAUUCAAAAGGAUGAAUAAUAGGCAAAAAUUUUCCUUCUAAAUUGGUUGA